CCUACGGGGGGCAGCAGUAGGGAAUAUUGCACAAUGGGGGAAACCCUGAUGCAGCGACGCCGCGUGAAGGAUGAAGUAUUUCGAUAUGUAAACUUCUAUCAGCAAGGAAGAAAAUGACGGUACUUGACUAAGAAGCCCCGGCUAAAUACGUGCCAGCAGCCGCGGUAAUACGUAUGGGGCAAGCGUUAUCCGGAUUUACUGGGUGUAAAGGGCGUGUAGGCGGGCCUGUAAGUCAGAAGUGAAAUCUGGGGGCUUAACCCCCAAACUGCUUUUGAAACUGCGGGUCUUGAGUGAUGGAGAGGCAG
rnacentral:rRNA from 1 species